rnacentral:rRNA from 1 species
UACGUAGGGUGCGAGCGUUAAUCGGAAUUACUGGGCGUAAAGCGUGCGCAGGCGGUUUUGUAAGCCAGAUGUGAAAUCCCCGGGCUUAACCUGGGAAUUGCAUUUGUGACUGCACGGCUAGAGUGUGUCAGAGGGGGGUAGAAUUCCACGUGUAGCAGUGAAAUGCGUAGAGAUCGGGAGGAACACCAGAGGCGAAGGCGGCCACCUGGACAGGUACUGACACUCAACUGCGAAAGCGUGGGGAGCAAACAGG